CAAAUUGAUCAUUCACUCAACCGAUUCGUUCAAAAUAACUGAUUCAUUCAGCAACUCCUUUCUGUUGGACACGCUUCGAUUACUCCUUGGCUUCGUUUUGAAGUAUUUUCGUUGGCAGCAUUGAAUCUGAAAUCUUGUUUGUUCGACUGGAGCCAGGCUGCAGGCGAUUCACCUUCUCAGGACAGAACCUCAGCAGCAGCAGAAGCACCAGCGUGACCAAGAAAGCCAGCAAAAACAGCACCGACAUGGUCUACUCACCACAGAAUGUAUCUCCAGUUUUACAUUCUGAAUAUGCAGAACUGGUAGAGGCCGCCAUCCUGUGCAGAGACAGAAUGUGGAUUUAAAAGGAGGCAAAGUGGAUGGUGAAUGUGGAGAGCACACACUUCCUGGGAUGUUCAGACAGAGCUCUCUUGACACCCUCUUCAUCAGCACGUCUCCCUUUUUGUCCUUCUCUGCUACAGCUGUCACAAAACGCAUUGCAUUCAAAGAGUCUGAGAUGUCUCACAUGCAUAAUGCCAGCUGGUGUUCAUUGGCUGCCCACGAACAAUGUCUACUUUGACCCGCCCUCAAACAGUAGUUGUAGCUGAGGCCUUUACUGUUAAAGUAUAUUCUGUAUAGUCUAGGUGCAUUCAUGUCAUGUCGUAAUUACUGUAAUUACGAGAUUCCAACUUGUAAAAAGCGUUCAUGUCCUCUUAGAACUUGUAAUUACAACUUGUAUACUUUUAAUUAAAAUAUAACUUUUCUGUACCACUUUAUUGUCAAAGAAAUGUGAACUAGUUAAUGAUUUGUUUUUUAUAUGGCUUGUACAAUUGAGCAUAACUAUACAUGUGUGUGUGUGUUUGUACUGCAAUUUAGAAAAAUAUUAUUUUAUUUUUUAAAUAUAUUGUUAGAUAUUGAUGUUUUAUACCUGACCCAGCCUCAGUCACCAGAAAAAAAUAGAUUCAGCCAUGCUGAAGCAGGAGACAGAGUGAUGUUAAAAAUUAGCAGGGUUUUUUUUACUUUUUAGUUCAAACCUGUUAAUAAUUUCAAAAUAUUAAAAAGACUUUUCACAUGAAAAGUUCUAGAAUCAUGUGUUUAAACUACCUUUUUGCAAUUUUAAGUUCAAGCCCUUUAGCUCCUGAUUCUCUUCUGGACUUAUUUUUUCAGGCCAUUUACAGUUUUUUUUCAAUUGCUAAAAAGCAUAUGUUAAUACUGAAGUCUUACAUGUAUAUAAUAAAUAAUAAUAAAUAUAACAUUAUGCAAUCUUUUAGGACAAGUAUGUGGAUCAACCUACAGGACUCCUGCAGGAAUGUACCCAUAGAAUUUUCAUUUUGUCAAGCAGAAUUCCUGCAUCAUCCAUUUAAAGACAACUACAAUCCUUCAGGAUCCCUGCAAGACUUAUAAGAGAAGUAUGGUGGUCUCUCUGGAAAUAACACUGCAUGUUUUUUUAGUCCCCAAUUGAAUCGAUAGAUUUGGUGGUGGAAUUGUCAAAUGAUGAAGAGUAAAGUGUGAAACUGAAAUAUGUAAAUGUGGAUCUGCUUAUCUGCUUUGUGACUCUGUAUCCCCAUUGAAAAAAAAAAACUUUAUAUCUGCAUUCAGCCAUGACUUCAACUGUUUUUUAUUACCAAUCAAAUUAUAAUCAAUUAACAAAACAUCACUUACAUAUCAAAAUAAAGUUGAACAGAAAUAAGAAAAAUUUAUCUUUUUCAGAAAGAUGAACUUUAAAACUUAAAAAAAAAAAAAAAGUGAACAACAUUCUCUUUCUUCAACCCACAGAAAUCACAUUUAUCUAUAUCACAACAAAAUCUUGGGCAAAGUGCUUUAACAGGGUACACCAGAUGAAGUAUUUCUCUGAAAUGUAUUUCUCCUACCUUGUUAGUUAUGUACAAUCAUUUUAAGCAAUGCUUAUUUCCACUCAGUGGACUCGAAACUUAAUUGCAAUGACUUAUGACAUGAUUUAAUACACUGUGUCGGUAUGCUUCUGAAACUGAUGCAAAUUCCAGGUUGGUACGCUUCGACCCGUCCCCUUGGCUAAAAUUGGAAUCGCAUACUAGCAUGCUGCUUGUACUAUUUUUGUCAUGCAUUUAUAUGGUAGAAAUAGAGCACUAUGCUAGUGUGCAGUUUUAAAUUCAAUAAAACUGUGAAAUGCAAUGAAGUGAAGCUUGGUUAGACACAUACUUGCGCAGAUUCAAAAGAACAUCACGUAUAAAUACUUGUUGCAAAGAAAGAGGUGUUAAAGAAUUACUAAAAUCUGCUGCAGCAAAAAGGAUCAUUCUUGAUUGUUUUUUGCAGUUAAAUACAGCUUUACUGUUUGUAAUACUUUAUUUUUUGCAAAUAUACGUCAUGAUUUUGUCUCUACAGUUGACCUGAAAAUUUGACCAAUUGUAAGCUUUUAAUGCUAAGAUAUUGAGCUUUAAAAAAAAAAAAAGCUGUUAUUAUGAUUUAUGAUAUUAUGAUUGAUAUAUUAAACUGAGAUUUCACAUAUAUUAGAAUGUGAUUUUGAUAGGUGCUUGAUAUGAAAUUGGAAGGUGUCUUUGAAUAUGUCCUUGAAAGUUCUUAAAUCUGAUAAAAGAGUUUGAACCAU